rnacentral:rRNA from 1 species
UACGGAGGGGACUAGCGUUGUUCGGAAUUACUGGGCGUAAAGCGCACGUAGGCGGAUUUGUAAGUCAGGGGUGAAAGCCCGGGGCUCAACCCCGGAACGGCAUCCGAGACGGCCAGGCUGGAGACCGGGAGAGGAGAGUGGAAUAGCCAGUGUAGAGGUGAAAUUCGUAGAUAUUAGGAAGAACACCAGUGGCGAAGGCGGCUCACUGGUCCGGUACUGACGCUGAGGUGCGAAAGCGUGGGGAGCAAACAGG